rnacentral:tRNA from 1 species
UGUUCUGUGGCGAAGUUGGUUAGCGCGCCCUGUCUAGCGAACUUGGGGAGACGUGGGUUCAAACCCACCAGAACUA